CACUGGAAAAAAAACCUGGAGGUAAAAAUGGCAGCACUGUGAGGAUGAUCUGUGAAUUCUGGCUGUGAGAGUUCAACCUCAGCUACAUCAUCCAAGAGAUUUCAAGAAGGAGCUCCAUGGUGGUGGUCACAGGCAGGAAAAAUGCAACAAGACUAAUCUAUAAUCUGAACCAGAAGAACAGGCGAGAAUCAAAAAUCAAGAGACCAGAGCGUGGAAAUAAGGCUCCUGAAGAAGCCGGCCCCCCAGCCUCCACUUGAGAAGAUGAGACCACCCUCACUUGCCAACCCAAACAUGGUGCAGACACAAACUGCUUUCAACAUUCAACAAUUUUCUCCAACACAUUAGGCGGUUUUCAGAGUCAGUAACUUAAUUUAAAAAGCAACGUUAGUAUUUACUCUGGGAACGCUCUCUUCAUUCAGAUUUCACUUACACAGGUGCUUAGGGUUCAGACAUAAAU